rnacentral:rRNA from 1 species
UAGGGAAUCUUCCGCAAUGGGCGAAAGCCUGACGGAGCAACGCCGCGUGAGUGAAGAAGGUCUUCGGAUCGUAAAACUCUGUUAUUAGGGAAGAACAAAUGUGUAAGUAACUAUGCACGUCUUGACGGUACCUAAUCAGAAAGCCACGGCUAACUACGUGCCAGCAGCCGCGGUAAUACGUAGGUGGCAAGCGUUAUCCGGAAUUAUUGGGCGUAAAGCGCGCGUAGGCGGUUUUUUAAGUCUGAUGUGAAAGCCCACGGCUCAACCGUGGAGGGUCAUUGGAAACUGGAAAACUGUAGUGCAGAAGAGGAAAGUGGAAUUCCAUGUGUAGCGGUGAAAUGCGCAGAGAUAUGGAGGAACACCAGUGGCGAAGGCGACUUUCUGGUCUGUAACUGACGCUGAUGUGCGAAAGCGUGGGGAUCAAACA